UGACACUGUGUCUGUACCUCGCUCUAUUAAAACAAGAGAUUCUACAAGAAACGUUAAUAAUAAAACUCAUAAAUAUGCUGACACUGUGUCUGUUCCACGGGCUGGACGGGGUGUCUGUUUCAGCAACUUACUACCCGUUACUAUCAUUCCUUCUGAACGUACCACCAGCACCCCCGAUAUAAGAAUAGGAUUAUUAAAUGUUAGAUCUCUCACACCUAAAACGCUCAUUGUCAAUGAAAUGAUUACAGAUCAGGGGUUUGAUGUACUGUGCCUGACCGAAACUUGGUUAAAACAAAACGAAUUUGUAGCAUUGAAUGAGUCUAGUCCUCCUGGAUAUAGCUAUGUACACCAACCUUGCUUAACUGGAAGAGGAGGUGGUGUUGCAGUAAUUUAUAAGGAUAAACUCAGUAUUACUCAUAAACCCGGACAAGGAUUUAACUCUUUUGAGAUUCUGCAUACCAAUAUAACUCAUGUAGUCUCACAAAAUAAAAAUCCUAAAUUCAUUCCAUGUAUUAUUAUUUAUAGACCCCCUGGACCUUGUUCUGAGCUUCUUAGUGAAUUUACAGAUUUUGUCUCCAACUUAGUUGUAUCUGUGGAUAAAGCCCUAAAUAUCGCCGACUUUAACAUCCACUGUGAUAAAUUAGAAGACUCACUAAGAACAGCAUUCCUGUCUUUAUUAGACUCAGUUGGAGUUAACCAACAUGUAACAGGACCUACUCACGAAGGUGGUCACACACUCGAUCUUGUGUUGACCUUCGGUUUAAAUAUAGAAGAUAUAGUUACUCUUCCGCAAUCUGAAAUGAUCUCAGAUCAUUUCCUCAUCGCUUUUAAAAUAUGUCUCAGACACAACAAACUCAAUCACCCUCGUUAUAGAGACAAAUGGACAAUUACAUCAAGUACGGCACAGAGGUUUAUUAAUACCUUGCCAGAUUUAUCAACGCUGAUAAACUCACCGUCAGACCCCGCUGAACUCGACCAAGCGACCAAAUGUCUAGAAUUAACACUGCGUAGUAAGUUAGAUAUAGUCGCUCCCCUCAAAAGGAAGAAAGUAAGAGAUAAAAACGUAAUUCCUUGGUAUAAUGAUCACACGCGCUCGCUUAAGAAGACCGCCCGGAAAUUAGAACGCAAAUGGCAUCGAAGUAAAUUAAAUGUAUUCCGAAUAGCUUGGAAGGAGAGCCUACUUAACUAUAAGAAGGCUCUUAGCGCGGCUCGAUCAACGUAUCUCUCCUCGCUAAUAGACAAAAACCAAAAUAAUCCCGGAUUCCUGUUUAAAACUAUAGCCAAACUAACCAGGAAUAAGACAGAAAUGGAUACUACCACUCAAUAUCAUCAUAGUAGCGAUGAUUUAAUUAAUUUCCUUAAUACUAAAAUUGUCGCAAAUAGAGAGAAGAUUAAACGCACAACAAAUAGCUCCG
rnacentral:lncRNA from 1 species